UAAAUUAUAAAAAACUUUUUUUUCCUCCUUGAUUGGUCAUGGUUUAUUGCACAAAAAAAUCGACAAGAGACAUUUCAAUUUGUUGUUAAUUCACUGGUGUUCAAACGGUUCAACAUUUGGCAAAAAAAAAACUAUCACCGUAUUAAGAUACCUUCCAAUGCUUUUUAAUAUCAAUACUGGGAUUGUUCUUCAUUCUGUUAACUAGAAUUUUGGCUUGAUGAAAACUAUCUAUUGUGGCAGCAACAGGAAAUGCAACAUUAAGUCUCGCUUUAUUUGAAAUAAAUUCACCGGUUCCCGUGGAGUAUCCUGUUAAAUUUGGAUUAAAAACCUGUAAAAAUCAAUUGUCGAACCUUAAGGAUAUUAGGAAUUGUAAGAAAUUCACGCCAAGAACCUUGACCCCCUCCAGUGGCACUCACACCACGAUUUUCG